GACGAACGCUGGCGGCGUGCCUAAUACAUGCAAGUCGAACGCAGUGGGGAUGGGUGAGUAACACGUGGGUAACCUCCCAUCAGAGGGGAUAACCCUUGGAAACAGGUGCUAAACCGAUACUGAUGGAUGGAACCGCGGUGCAUUAGCUAGUUGGUGGGGGAAAGGCUGACCCAGGCCAAGAUGCCUAGCCGACCGGGGAGGCUGAUCGGCCACACUGGGACUGAGACACGGCCCAGACUCCUACGGGAGGCAGCAGUUGGGAAUCUUCGGCAAUGGACGAAAGUCUGACCGAGCAACGCCGCGUGAGUGAAGAAGGUUUUCGGAUCGUAAAACUCUGUUGUUAGAGAAGCGGUAUCUAAAGAGAAAGCCACGGCUAACUACGUGCCAGCAGCCGCGGUAAUUC
rnacentral:rRNA from 1 species